GGGGAUUUAGCUCAGUGGUAGAGCGCUUGCCUAGCAAGCACAAGGCCCUGGGUUCGGUCCCUAGCUCCA
rfam:Rattus norvegicus chromosome 15, whole genome shotgun sequence.